rnacentral:rRNA from 1 species
UACGGAGGGUGCAAGCGUUACUCGGAAUUACUGGGCGUAAAGCGUGCGCAGGCGGUUUGUUAAGUCUGCUGUGAAAUCCCCGAGCUCAACUUGGGAAUUGCAGUGGAUACUGGCAGGCUGGAGUACGGUAGAGGAAGGUGGAAUUCCCGGUGUAGCAGUGAAAUGCGUAGAGAUCGGGAGGAACACCAGUGGCGAAGGCGGCCUUCUGGACCAGUACUGACGCUCACGCACGAAAGCGUGGGGAGCGAACAGG